rnacentral:rRNA from 1 species
UACGAAGGGGGCUAGCGUUGUUCGGAAUCACUGGGCGUAAAGCGCGCGUAGGCGGAUUGGCAAGUUGGGGGUGAAAUCCCGGGGCUCAACCUCGGAAUGGCCUUCAAGACUGCCGGUCUUGAGUUCGAGAGAGGUGAGUGGAAUUCCGAGUGUAGAGGUGAAAUUCGUAGAUAUUCGGAGGAACACCGGUGGCGAAGGCGGCUCACUGGCUCGACACUGACGCUGAGGUGCGAAAGCGUGGGGAGCAAACAGG